rnacentral:lncRNA from 1 species
GAUGGUGAAGAUGAAAAAUCUAUUCCACACUAACCUGUCUCACAACAGCAGCAUGUUCCUGGCUCAUUUGAUCCUCACUCUAGGGACUGGGCAUCUAAUUAAAUUAAUAUUCAUCUGUAUCACCGUUUAGCUUUAUUCUACACGGUUCAAUGGCCAUUGAUAAUUGGAGAGCAUUAUUGGAAUGCAACAGCUUAUCUGGCUUCGUCUGGUCCUAAGUUACACCAAACAAAACACAUCAUAAGUUACUUUAAAAAAUCUAAACAAAUUUAGAUUAGGAUAUUUGGACUUAAUAUUUCAACUUAAAUUUCAGCUGAAGUUUUUGUGUGACCUAGGUGCUUGUGACAAUAGAAAUCAAGGUUAACUUCCCCUGUCAAAUCGUGGUAAAUCUUCAAGAUAUUGAUGCCUUCCCCAGAUCCAAUUCUUUGCUGCUAUCUCUUCAAACAACAAGGAACUGAACACUCACCCACUGGGAUAAUCAGGAGGAUGAGGAGGGCCCUGGUCGAACGAGGACUUGGAAGAACCCACACUUCAACUAAACAGGGAAGGGGGAACCAAGAAGACAAGAACUUAGAAGAAGAUAAAUUAAGGGGCUAGCUUAUUUCCACUACGCU